rnacentral:rRNA from 1 species
GACGAACGCUGGCGGCGUGCUUAACACAUGCAAGUCGAACGGAAAGGCCUCUUUCGGGUGGUACUCGAGUGUCGAACGGGUGAGUAACAUGUAAAUAACCUGUCCUUACCUUGGGGAUAACUUUAUGUAACUGGGGCUAAUACUGGCUAGUAGCUCCUCCUACAUGGUGUUGUUUGGAAAGUUUCGGCGGUUGGGGAUGGACUUGCCGCUUGUCAGCUUGUUGGUUGGGUAGUGUCUUACCAAGCCGUUGACGGGGUGCCUGCCUGACAGGGUGGACGGAGACAUUGGGAAUGAUAUAAGGGGAGGACUCAUACGGGAGGUAGCAGUGGGGAAGGUAACACAAAGGGUGCAAGCCUGAUGGAGCAACGACGUGUGCGGGAUGACGGACUUCUGGUUGUAAACAGCUAUCGCUCAUGACGAAGAUUUGUGUGACGGUAGUGGGUAAAGAAGCACCGGCUAACUACGUG